rnacentral:misc_RNA from 1 species
AAGUCGUAACAAGGUAACCGUAGGUGAACCUGCGGUUGGAUCAUUACCAAUUCAAAGGGGUUUCUCUCUUUCUCUCUCUCUAUCGCAAGACUGAGAGGAGACUGAGCUAACCCUGGGUAAUAACAAUCCCUAAAACCCCUGUGUGAACUGUUUGCCUCUGAUCUGUUUGUCUCUCUCUUGUUAUUUUCCCUUUCGAAAAGAGAAGAGAGAGGCUUUGGAUCCAGAGGUGUUUGCGGGUUUUCCAAAGAGACUUUGAAAAAAGUCUUCGAUGGGGAGCUCGUGACAAAACACCUUUUAAACUUAUAAACCAUAUAUUGUCUGAAUAUCAUAAAGUACAGAUGCUUGCAUCGAAAGAUGUCUUCUGCGACUUUCAAAAUACUCAAACAACUUUUGGCAACGGAUCUCUUGGCUCUC